AGUUUGAAGUUUUAGUGACAAGGAAUUGUCAGGAUGAAACAUGUCUGUCGAGGAGAAUGUCCCCCCUUUUUAGGAGGAUGACAGAGUAAAGUGUAUAAAAACAAACGUUUUUGUCGGAUUUUGGAAGUGAGGCAGGAAACCUGGGAGAAGAAGUGUGUUACAGUCGAGGAAUGCCAGACUGUUCUGAAAGGUUUCUUCGAAAAGCAAGGUAUUGUUUCUGACUCUACCAUCGACUGGUGCUCCCCGAGGCCUUACCUGCUUCUAAAGACAAAUAAUGUUAUGUUCUCAAGAAGAAAGCUGUGUCCAUAAUUGCUGAAAACUGCAGGAAACUUUUUGGCUUGGUCUCCCAGCCUCUUCUUCCACAGAUGUCAUUCACUGUUGAACAGUGCAGUGUGGAGGUCAGGACAAUGACCAAGUGGAGGGAGAUAAACAUGGACCAGAUGGGCGCAGAGCUCAGGAGGACAUCUGUGAACUGUACAAAGAGGCCUGUGUGAGGGACGUGUAUCGUGGGUUAGAUCUCUGUGUAGAACCUGUUGACAUCACUGUGGGCUGUCAGCGAGCUGCAGAACCAGGCCAUACGGCAACGCAACAGGGCUCAACACGCCAUCACC